rnacentral:lncRNA from 1 species
AACGAUGGAUAUUAAUGUCACUACUUGGUGCAUGAUUUUUUAAUUAGUUACCUAUAACUGUUACGUUACUUUCCGUAAAUAAUCACAAUCAUGUGUUUUCCAUCUCGAGUGUUGGUGUGAGUUACAAGCGGAGAAUCGGGUGAAUUGCCGGUAGGAUUUAUUAAGGGCCAGAAUCACCCGUAUACACAUUUAACGAAGGUCAAAAGUACGAAUGCUUUUGGAGUCCGGUACAUUCAGACACUCCGGAAUCUUUGCUCGAAUCGAAAGUUGUCCUACACAAUAAUGAUGUCCUGAUGGAUUCGGUAACCACACAAAACAGGAGAAGGCAGCAUUCAGCAAUAAACCUGGAUACUACAAUUGCUUCAUCUACGUAAUCAAAGAUUUCUGCGGCUUCUCACCGUCCGCUGCAGAGGACGCCGACCGCCUCCUCGCCCGGGCUCACCGGCGAGUGGAAAUGCAAGCAAUACAUCAGCGACGAGAGAGGAGCAGGCGGCGGCGGCGCCAGCGAGAGUCCGAGAAGUUCCCGUCAACGCCAAUAUCAAAACCGUCAUUGUUCCGCAAGUUCGCCCCCCCCCCCUACCUCCAAGUUUCAGUCCCGGAGGAUGCCACCCAGCUUGUAUUUCUUAGUCCGCUCGGCAAACUCACAUCUCUCCAAAGAAAUGUAGCCCAAGCUUUCCCGAGCUCCUAUAUGGACACGAUCACUAGCAUGAUAGCCUUAGCAGAAGUAAGAGGUUCGACAUCUUCCAAACGAAGCCGGACCGAAAGCAGCUUCAACAGGUAUCUAUUAAUUAAUGAACGCGUAAGGAGAGUAAAACGAGGAGAUAUGCAAAAGUAGGACAUCGCUGCGAUUUUGUAUUUUGGCGAAAACCAGACGGACUCUUGAGAAAAAGAGAGGACGGAAAAAAGUGAAUCAUAACUGUCAUAAGUAUGAAGCUAAUUUCGAAUCGCGACACUUAAAAAUCCCACAUUUUAUACCUACGUCCAAAAAUACCACGUCUCCGCAUCUCACGGGAAUAACUUGGAAACGACAACUAAUGGACUUAAUUCGGAAGUAAAUUCCAUACACGGCUCCUUCAGAAAUCUCAACGAACGGCAUUUGCAUUGAUAGAAUCGCUGAUCAGCACGCCCGCGCCAUGAGUUUUAUAGAAAGGC